rnacentral:lncRNA from 1 species
GCAUGAAUUUAUUAAGUAUUUAUUUUGCUUAUUCACAUGAGCAGCAAGCACAGAUAGAAGACAGAAACCCCAAGAUGUAAAGAUAGGCCAGAAACAUGGUUGUGUGCUUGGUGGUACUGGGUGUGAUGGAGUGGUUCAAGUCCUCUAGGCUGAGUGGGCAGGAAGGUCACAACCUCAAGUGUGCAGACACUCCCAGGUCCAUGCUAAACUGCUGACUGAAAUGUGUUGUGUUUUCUAGGCAUUCUGCAGAUUUGAUAGAUGAAAGCGUCAUCCUCCUUUGAAGGUCUCUCCAGAUACAUCCAUCUCCUGAAUCAUGAGGACUUUCAUAUGCCAUGAGCCCAGCCUGGGAAUCUCCUGAGUGAAGCUGAGCGAGGAUGCCUAAAAUCUGGUCCUGGCAUCCUUCUUAGCCAUUUGGAAGUUGGUCCAGAGGUUGGACCUGCUGGUCCUUGAGUUGGCUGUUUCUGUAGGUUGUUGUUUGGUACAU